GCCAGUAUACACUGGACUUAUGCGGUACCCACCGCGUAUGACCUAGAACGUCAAAGGAGAAAACAAUG
rnacentral:ncRNA from 1 species